GCGUCCUGACAAAAACGUCCAAAGGGCUAGGAAGCAUCGACUACCAUAUUCAAAUAAAUCGACACUCACAGACUCUAAGGGGCGUUUUGCAGGUGGAUCGGACUUCAUUGUCUCUUGGCCCAAUGAAGGCCAAAAGAAAAGAGCAAGGGCAUGGUUGAAAGUGCAGGUCACGCCUGAUUCGGAAGCUACAAAAGGCGGAGCACUUCUCUACGCGCCAAGGCGAGAACAACUGUCCUCUGGCAAUCAACCAGGACCAAUUCAUCCUCAACCGUGAGUCUGUCUCACUGGACGAUGCAAGUGACUCCUGGACAUUGAAGCGUCCAGACGGGCAUCUUCCAGUGCCAAAUAGGUUGGAUCCUCUUGGCCGGUCGUCUUGAGGUCAAGUGCAGGAGCAGCAUCCACAUUGCUCAUCUGAAUGGAACUGACAAUCAUGCCGCGCACAUGUACCGUCUGGUCCAAUGUCCUCAUUAUUCCCACUUCCUUCAUCCCCUCUCACGGGAUCUUUGACGGGGAAUGCAUCAAUGCAUCUGCAAUUCCAUGGGUUUUGCCUUUGAACUAUUCCAACAUAAGCAAGUACUGAUCCCAUUUCUCCUUCAGACAUUGAAGGGAAGGGUUCUCAACAGCAUCAAGUGAGAAUCCAUUCAUUAUAGGGAUCAAAGGCAUGUGGUUGGUAACCACCACAAAUUUCUAGGCCGCAAGAAGUACAAACAACAUUGGUGGAUGGUCCAAACAAUGGCCAACAGCUCCAACUCACAAACAGCAUAUCUGGACUCCGUGUUGGGUACAAAGGGGAACGACAUUGCACCAUCUUUCAACACCGUUCUGCUCCAUAUCCGUGGUCUUGCAUAAGAGCAAAUCCAAGAUCUUGUAAACUUGACACAUUGGUCAACAUUUUAAUUGGAAUACGGAAUGUUUGAUCAGCUUUUUGUAGUCAACGACUAAUCUGACUCCGUCACCACCAACAAAGGUGCAUCCCAUGGUGAUGGUUCAUUAUUGCCAUCCUCAAUGAUUUUCAUUGUAUUCAUGCGGUCCAAUUCGGCUUUCGUCUCAUCUCGAAAAGCAUACGGGGAUGGCUCUUGCCGUCGUGCAAACAAACAGUUUAUAUCUUCCAUGUCUUUAAGUUGAAUUUCUAUGGGAGGUUCUUUCAUUGCCUUAAAUUCGUUCAUGAGGGAAUCUCUGGUUGCCUCCACCUCCUUUGGAGCUGGCACAGAUGGAAGAACGGUCGAACUGACCACUUUGACCACAUCCCGUACAUAGCGGCGUCGUUUUCAGAACAAGAGAAUAAACGAGGAAUCAUCCUCAGAAGGAUCAUGGCGGACCAGCUCAAAAGUGCAACAUUUGUGUCCUGACUCAUAUAAGCAGUAAUGGAGGUGUGGUAAUGCAACUAUGUCAAUUCAAGCUCAACCAAUCCAUCACAAAUGAAUCCAGCACCAUGGCAACCUCAAUCACUGCCCUUGUAGAGGACUCCAUGAUCUCAGAGACACAACGGGAAAAUACAGUCCGUGGCUCCAGUAUCUGGUAUCUACAGUCUUAAAACCUAACUCCUGACAAAGCAAGAGCACUGACAAUCGCGGUUGAGGAGGCGUUUUACGCUUGGACACUCCUCACCGACACACCUUCUAUCCAAGACACAUUGUUUGGAACUGGCCUUCUUUGCCACAUGCAUAAUACAAUUGAUCGUUGGCAGGACAACCAUGAUCUACGUGCUUGUUAAAACCACCUCUAUUGGACGGCUUGAACCCAGUAGCAGGAUUUCCACGACUAUCGGAUUUUACUAUCACGUUGUUUGACUUGUUUCCUCAUAUUGCACGUCGAAAUUUGCAACCGAUAUUGACAACCGAUCUACCCUGGAGGGCAACCAGAUUGGCACCUUGACUUCGGACCGACUUGUAUUGUCCAUACACAAAAGUUCGCUCUGCAAAUCUUGGCUAUUCACAGCCAAGAUUAGGCGAGAAGUAGAAACUUCUGCCCAACUAAGACAAACAUAAACAUGUCGCUCGCAAAAAUUCUCCCCUUGCUUCUGCUGCAGCGCGUUGAAAGCAUGUCUUCUCCUGACAAUAUUCAAAGACUUGGCCAGAUUUUGUUAAACUUACUCAACACUUCCACAAUCGGUUCCUCCUCGGUCACAUCCAAGUACUGCGAGAUCAUUUGGAUUAUACCAACAUCCAUGCAGCCUCGCAACAGCACACUGUUCCCUCAAUGAGAAUUACUAAUUUCAUUACAGAAAUGGGGCCACUUUUUGUCACUAGUAGCACAGAGUUACCAAAGCCGUAUUUCUCGUGCAGCCGCGGCCAUGAUUUUCGAGGAUGAUUGACCUGGUCCGACGUGUUCGUUUUUUCUCACCUGACUCUGGUCGAGGAGAAGAGGGUUGUG